rnacentral:rRNA from 1 species
UACGGAGGGUGCAAACGUUGCUCGGAAUCAUUGGGCGUAAAGCGCACGUAGGCGGCCUGAUAAGUCGGGUGUGAAAGCCCUGGGCUCAACCCAGGAAGUGCACUCGAAACUGUCAGGCUUGAAUAUGGAAGAGGGUCGCGGAAUUCCCGGUGUAGAGGUGAAAUUCGUAGAUAUCGGGAGGAACACCAGUGGCGAAGGCGGCGCCUGGGCCAAUAUUGACGCUGAGGUGCGAAAGCGUGGGGAGCAAACAGG